CCAAACACUUAGUCAAUAUUAGAUGAUAUUAUUAUAAAAUUCAACAUAAUAACAAAUAUCCAGGACUAAUUAUUAUUAAUGCGGAAAUUCAAACAAACUGCUUACUAAAAUUUCCAAGACCCGAAAGUUAUCGUACAAGAACUAAUAACAAAGAUAGUAGCUAAAGUGAUAUCCAAAAAUAAAGUAAAUAAAGAAUGUUUCAUUGCCCGAAAAAUGGACAAGAACAAAUAAGAUGACCCAUGACAGCCUGAAGACGGAGUGCUCACCCUUGGAUCAAGAUCUGCCAUCAAACUCUAGAGGUGAGGUCAUGUCUAAGCCUAGAACACUUUCUGCACUCAACAAAAGAAGAGUACAGCGUAGUAUCAGUACAAACCACUAUAUACUGGUAGGUAUCAUAGGUCAACUCAAUUUAAUAAUAUGUACACAACAUAAAUCAAAUAACAAAUAGACAGACAUUGUCACACAAUAAAUAUUCAAUGAAUCAACUAUACAGCAACAACAGGUCAAACAGUGCUCACAAACAAACCACAUAACCAUCAAGAGUAUCAACCAUACUGUAAAUAUCCACAGAAACAACACAAAUAUGUACACACAUGCUAUAGGACUUAUUUUUACCCAAAUAAUCAUGACCUGCAGGGAACAAUUUAUGUUCAUGUACCGUACCAGUGUGGUACCCGAUUCAACAUAAAUAUAAACGUACUGGCGUGGUACCCGAUCCAACAUAAAUAUAAACAUACCGGCGUGGUACCCGAUUCAACAUGAAUAUAAACGUACCGACGUGGUACCCGAUCCAACAUAAAUAUAACCAAGUACUAUCAAUAUCAAUUUACACAACCUCACAGCAUGCCACACAAUGUACCAAGUUUACAAGUACACUUAAAGUCAUAAGACAAUUUCAUCAAGUCAAUUUUCAAUAAACAUUUAUACACGAAUCAACAAUCCAAACAUCAACAAUUUCAAGCAUGUCCGAAUACCAAUCCACAAGUAUCCAAUUUAGGAGCAUACACACAAUUAAGUCGAGUCUAAACUCUAAUUAAACUGUAACCUACCUCAACCGAAGAAACCGAAAACAAACUAUUUUGCAAGGGUCUUUCCCCUCCGUAAGGUCUCUGAAUGAUCAAAAUAUGUUCAAGUAUAUAAUCCCCAUAAGAAUACGAAUCAAGUGCAUAAAUUUAUUCAUUAUAGCUCAAUCACUAACAAUUUUCUUAUUACCUUAUCAUUAUUCUAAAUCGAUAUGAUCGAUAAUCUAUGAAAAAUAGUAAGAAUAAUACAUUUUAAUACCUAGAAAAUAUAAUCCAUUCUACGAACGUCAUUAUUAAGUAAUAAUUUGUUCAAAUAAUCUGCCUAACCUAUAAUCUUCCUGUACGUUCAAGGUUAUAAAACAAAUCAUUACAAAAAUCAUCCUAAGAUAGGAUUUUCUCACCCAACACCACCUAUACUACUGCCACCAACUUGCCAUGUUAAUGUCCUUAUUACCUCAUAAUUAUCCACUAAUUCCCUAAAUUCCAAAUAAUUUGCAGAUCAUACACACCACCCAUAAUAAAUACACUUCACUUCAUAUUGUCAGAAGGCAGUUAUUAGGAGUAUGGAACAAUUAAAACUAAGUAAAUUAUACUCAAUUUUUACCUAAAGCAGUCGGCGCUCCUCCACUGCCAUUUUCGUGUCCCUCCCUUUGCAACUACUGAUUCUAUUAUUAACAUAUAUGGUAAG
rnacentral:lncRNA from 1 species